rnacentral:lncRNA from 1 species
UAAAGUGAACCAUCAUGGUUAUGGAGACUCGACUAAAACCCUUACCACUCAUCCCUUUUAUUCAUACUUCACACACUCCACACUUUUUAUUUUCCCUUUCUUCUUCUUUUUUUUUUUCUUCUUUUUUUUUUUUUUUUUGGUGUAUAAAUAGUAACAGUAGUGGUUGUGCAAUGUUGGUUCCUUUAAGCUUUCGAUCCAACCGUGUAGCGAGACUUAGGUCAAUGUCUCCCAAACCACUCGGGUUUUAGGGCACUAGGUGUAGAACACCCCUAAGGACUUAUUAACUCAAGCUGAAAAGGCUACGAAACCAACUAACCACCCUGCCUCAUGCCAAAACUCUACCUUUUGUCUCGAGAAUCACUGCUGAUUAGGCAGGACUGGCCCGGUUACUAGCAAAGUUUCGAGUGAGGCAAUUAUUACUUUAUAACACAUACUAACUUUAUUUAUAUUGAAAUGAAAUUAAAACACACUUGGACAAAAAGUAAGUAUUCCAAUCUCAUUCCCCAAAAACCAUGUUGGUGUGAUGUGCAAAUUUCAAAGUAUAAUUCAUGAAUUAGUGUCUAAGCAACAAUAAAUAGAAAAGACUCUACUGUGGGAUUGAUUUUCACCAUGUCCAUUUGUUCUAACGUUUAAAAUAAUCUAUGGAUAUUGACUGAAAAAAAACGAAAAUUUGUAAACAAGACUCAAAAAAUGAAAAAUA